AUUGAACGCUGGCGGCAUGCUUUACACAUGCAAGUCGAACGGUAACAGGGUGCUUGCACCGCUGACGAGUGGCGAACGGGUGAGUAAUGCGUCGGAACGUGCCGAGUAGUGGGGGAUAACGCAGCGAAAGUUGUGCUAAUACCGCAUACGUACUGAGGUAGAAAGUGGGGGACCUUCGGGCCUCACGCUAUUCGAGCGGCCGACGUCUGAUUAGCUAGUAGGUGAGGUAAAGGCUCACCUAGGCGACGAUCAGUAGCGGGUCUGAGAGGAUGAUCCGCCACACUGGGACUGAGACACGGCCCAGACUCCUACGGGAGGCAGCAGUGGGGAAUUUUGGACAAUGGGCGAAAGCCUGAUCCAGCCAUGCCGCGUGUCUGAAGAAGGCCUUCGGGUUGUAAAGGACUUUUGUCGGGGAGGAAAUCCCCAGCGUUAAUACCGCUGGGGGAUGACAGUACCUGAGGAAUAAGCACCGGCUAACUACGUGCCAGCAGCCGCAGUAAUAC
rnacentral:rRNA from 1 species